CCCCCCCCCGCACCCCCCAUCCGUCACACUGGGCUCUACGGAGGCAAGCGGGGUGCCGGUGUCGGCCAUGAAGCUGGUGAACGGCGGACGACGAGGAGCGGGAGGGGGAGAGAAGGCGGCGUUCUCCUUCAAGAAGUGCUCAGCCUUUCAGUUUGUCAAGAGGAAGGUGCGUCGAUGGAUGCGUAACCCCAAAGUGAGCGCGGAGAAGGCGCAGGGCAAAUGUCCGCCGUACCCAUGCGCCAGGUGCCCGCCGGCCGAGGGGGGGGCGCGCUACCCCCGCUCGGCCUUCGUGCCGCUCGCUGUACGGCGACGGCGGCACGCCUUACGCGGAAAGUUGCCGUAAGAGCCAAAGCUGCAAGGUGAGGAAGUGGAAGACGCUCUCGGGCCCGCCACGGCAAGUCGAAGGACGGCGGCGACGGGUCUUGGGGGGCCGGCGUCCAGGCCACGCCCCCCUUUGUGGCCAGCCCUAUCAUGCUGGAGUGCGCCGCGUGCAGCGGGCCCUACAUCGGCUACGUGCUGGACGAUGCUGGCAUCUGCGACAACGCACGCAGGAGUUGUUCCACUUUGUUACCGUUUGGAAAGUCAGCAUAUGAGAGGAAGAGUCACAAUAAUUCAAAUAUUUUCGCUUGAUUGGAUUUCAACUUAAUAUGAAAUGAUUCUCUUCAUGGAGAGGAUAGUUCG